rnacentral:rRNA from 1 species
UACGAAGGGGGCUAGCGUUGUUCGGAAUCACUGGGCGUAAAGCGCACGUAGGCGGGUUCUUAAGUCAGGGGUGAAAUCCCGAGGCUCAACCUCGGAACUGCCUUUGAUACUGGGAAUCUUGAGUUCGGGAGAGGUGAGUGGAACUGCGAGUGUAGAGGUGAAAUUCGUAGAUAUUCGCAAGAACACCAGUGGCGAAGGCGGCUCACUGGCCCGAUACUGACGCUGAGGCACGAAAGCGUGGGGAGCAAACAGG